AUGAGUUGUCAGCAUUCCUGUAGCAACGGGCGAAAUGCAGGCCUCAGUCUUAGGGGUGGGAUUCAGCUGGCACGGCCCAGAACACACCGUUCUUGUCUUCUGUGUUCAGUGACCGAUGUAUUUGGCUUGGAGCUAUUUGGGGACAAACUGAAAAAGAAGAAGAAGCUGGUGAAUUCCUUCAAAAGAGGUUUACUGUUUUUUCCUCUUCCAACCUUGGUUUACCUUGAGAAAAAAAACCUAAAUUGUGUAGGGAGACAGGAGAUGUGAAAGGGAGGUUUGAAGAGAGCCCUGGGAAGCCUACUGAGCCUUUAGUGGCCUUUAGCGCACUUAACACUGGAAGACAGAGCCCUUCAGGAGGUGCAGGGAAGAACACAAGGAUUCUGGCCCCUAAGCUAAUGAAAGAAGAGCAGAGGUGAUUCCCAGAGGGAUUUCAUUUGGAAGUAGCCACUGACGCUGCUUCAUCUGCCAAUGGCUUUUCUAAAGUUCCUAAUUGCUCUUUGUGGUAUAGUUUGGAACUAUAAACGAAUUUCUAGGAGUGUUGAUUUCUGCCAUAAUCUGCAUAUUUGUGAAAACUUUCUCUGGGCAGCCUUAGCCCUCAAAAUAAGCUUAACAUUGCUUUAAUGAGGUGAUAUGGUUUGGCUCGGCUGGCUCUAUGUCCCCACGUGUGAAGGGAGGGACACGGUAGGUGGUGAUUGGAUCAUGGAGGCAGUUUCCUCCAUGCUGUUCUCGUGAUAGUGACUGAGUUCUCACGAGAUCUAAUGAUUUGUAAGUAGCGAUUUGUAAGUAGCACCUCCUCCUUUGCUUUCUGCCUCUCCGGCUGCCUUGCGAAAAAGGUACUUGCUUCUCCUUCACCUUCCGCAAUGAUUUUAAGUUGUGUGAGGCCUCCCCAGCCAUGCAGAACUGUGAGUCAAUUAAACCUCUUUCCUCUAUAAAUUACCCAGUCUCAGGCAGUUCUGUAUAGCAGUGUGAACAUGGGAUAAUACAUGAGGUAUCAAUUGCAGGAUAUGCUUACACUUAGAAACUGCAUUACUCACAUCCAUGUAUGGAUUGAGUCAGUAGAUAUCAUUUUAGGCAACCUUAUUAUUUAGCAGAUAAGAUGGCCUUGAUUUAUCUUCCAAUCAAUAAUUAUGAAAAAAAUAUUUGAAAACUUUGGUAGAAUAGGGAGUGAAUUAGGGGUAGAUAUUCACUGUUGUCAUGAUUAAAUGCAAACCCUGUUGCCAAAAGGUUCUACUAUGGAUGCCUUAGAUCUUUGUCUCAGACCAAUAUUUAUGCAGUCAUAUCCCACAUCUAAAUGAGAAACUUACCUUUGUAAUAGAACUGCCAAUUUUUACAAGCAACUUUAAAACGAUCUAAAAUUUAUAAUUUACUUAUUCAAUUAUUAAUGGUGACAAACCAUGUGCCAGAAGGGUUUUGGUUCCUGUUUAUACAGAAGUGAACAAGCAAAUUCCCUGUCUUCAUGGAAGUUGCCAUUUACUGCUUAGUAAUAUAGCCAGUGGGAAAACACACCCUUUCAGAUAUACCUCAAGGAUAUCCAAGGUAAAUGGCACAUAAGCAUAGCUUAGCCCUUUAUGGUAUGAACAGCAAAAAUGCCUCCUUCUAUAGAAUCUCCGCUUUUUAUAGUUAGCGUUGGAUGUAGGAAAAGUGAAAAAUUGUUUUCACUUCUGUCUGAUGAGUACCCCCACCUCACUUUUUUGGAAGCCUCUUCCUUCCUAUCUGGAGUCUAUCCUGUACCACCAUGUUAACUUAAGUAUGACUGUUACUCACGGGAGACAGCUUAAAGGAUAGACACUUCUGGAGUUAUUAUAUAUUAAAAAUAAUGUAUCGAAACAACAUAAAAAUUGUAAGCCUUUCAAAGUCACAAGAUGUAAGAUGUCGAUUUGACAGGGAAUUUGUGUUGGUAUUUUUGAUUUCAGGACUUGCCUUAGUUAAUUCAUCAUUUAACCCUGCUUUGUUAAAUAUGAGCAGGGGUCUUUUCGCAAUGUUUGUUUUGCUUUGAUGUGACUGAGUCUAUACAUCUAUCAACCUUUUUUACUGGAUCCCUGAAAGAUGCCUUGGGCAUUUCUGAAAGGUUGAUAGGAACUCCAGCCAGUUUAAGCCAAACAGCAGCAGCAGCAACAACAACAACAACAAAGAGCAAAUAACACUUCAUUCUUAUAGUAACAAAGAACAACUUGUUAAAACGAGCGCCUUUAUUUUUUAAGACCCCAGUUCUAUCAGCCUUUCUCAAGUUUCUUCCUUCAAAACUUCUUUGAAUACUAGGAUUUAGUAAAGACUUUGGAAAAAGAAACCCCGAGCAGGAUGUCCUUGUGGCAUUCCAAGUCAAGAGUAUUUAUCAACAGAAAUUUCUAUUUUUAUAAAUGUCUGAGAUCAUGUGAGUUUAAAAAAAAGAGUGGUCUAUUUAUUAUAGUGAGGCCUUUUAUGUUCUCCCAUGACAGGAGCAAGCACAAGACUAAUCAUUUAUCUUUUCACUCUAUAUUUACUUUGAGAACAGUAACUCUUCCAGCACUGAUUUAUGUAUGUGCCAAAAAUUAUUUCUGCUAAAUAUUUCCAUGUUAUGUACACAGACGCCUCAAGUUUUAGAGCA
ensembl:lncRNA